GCCUGGCUGGCACAAUCGGCUAGCGCGUGAGACUCUUAAUCUCAAGGUUGUGGGUUCGAAUCCCACGUCGGGCU
rnacentral:tRNA from 1 species